CAGUCGCCGCGGUAAUACGGAGUGGGCUAGCGUUAUUCGGAAUUACUGGGCGUAAAGCGCACGUAGGCGGAUCAGAAAGUCAGAGGUGAAAUCCCAGGGCUCAACCUUGGAACUGCCUUUGAAACUCCUGAUCUUGAGGUCGAGAGAGGUGAGUGGAAUUCCGAGUGUAGAGGUGAAAUUCGUAGAUAUUCGGAGGAACACCAGUGGCGAAGGCGGCUCACUGGCUCGAUACUGACGCUGAGGUGCGAAAGCGUGGGGAGCAAACAGGAUUAGAUACCCCAGUAGUCCCUGUCUCUUAUAC
rnacentral:rRNA from 1 species